rnacentral:lncRNA from 1 species
CCUUGCUCAAAUCAAGAUAUUACCUCUUAUCCGUCAAAUUGAAUUUUCCUCCAGUAAGAACUUCCACUCUCAGUCGUGAGAGGAGACUCUUCCUCCUGCAGAAGCUUUGAGCUCACACAAGUUUCCUAAUCAAGCAGCUGAGAGGGUGACUCCUUGUCAGAAGAGGAGGAUCCUGUGCAAGCACUGAGUUCUCUGGAACAUUAAAGGCGAGCCAUCGUUGAUUGGCCUCAACUCUUGUGAAGGGUCUCAUUCGCAUGAAAAUAUGCUACAACCUCUGAGCUUGUCUCUGCCGACACUCACAAAAGUAAAAGAUGUCACACAGAACACCCAAGUCCAUCAUCUUCCAUCUCAGGGACCAACGGUAAUGGCUUCAGCGGCAUCACCGUGCCCAUUGAAAGGAUGGAAAUGACAACCGAGAGCCGCAAUGUGGCCAGGCUGCAGGGGCCAGACCGAGGUUGCAUGGGCAGGGUUUCUGUUGCUGGGAUGAAGCGCCAUGACCAAAAAUAAACCAACUCAGGGAGGAAAUUGGUUAUUUGGCUUACACUUCAAAGUCACUGUUGACCAUCAAAGGAGUCAGGAUGGGAACAUAAACAAGGUAGGAACCUGG